AUGCUCACAUGCGGUCCAUCCCCCCGCAUAGCUCGAGCUGGGAACCUUGAGGGGUUCGUGCCCUGGGAGUCCAAGAGCUCAGUCGUGAGCUCUCUGGGAGCGUCUAAAAUAAUUGGCAAAAAAAUCGCCAAGCUGCGCUUCAUGCCCAUCAAGGAGGUGACAGCAGCCCAGCGCGAAACGAUCCUGGCCGUGGCUUCUUGGGACGAUGACGACAGUGUCAUCCAGCUCUGGAGCAUCUCACGGGACCAAGAAACCGACGAACAAUGCGAGACCCACGUCAUUGCUCAAGCCAAUAUGAAGGGCGAUGUUGCCGCCAUGGAGUUCAUCGAUCCCGAAAACCUCAUCGUUGCUACAUCCGCCAGCGAGCUGGUCUUGAAUGCUCUGUAUCGGUACUCCAUCAAAGAAACCCGACGAUGGCCAGCGGCGAUCGAAUGCGCGAUGCCCUAUUCAGGUCUCGCCGUGAGACAAGGGACCGAAGGCGCGGAAGUUGUUACGGUCGGAGAGGAUGGUUACAUCAAGAGAUUCAUACUCAAAGAUCCCAAAGACAAACCCGCCCAGUCGAUCGAGUCGGGAGCCGGCUCCCUCACCUGCGUAGCCUACCUCGGUCAGAAUGAAGUUAGUGUGGGAAACCUCGCGGGUCGCGUCAAAAUUUUCGACCUCAAGAAUACCAAAGAAGUUCGAGCAUGCUCACUGUGACUCGCCCGGGAUGCGUCAAGACGACCCGGUCGGCAUCACAUGCAUACUGCAGCACCCAUAUCAGCCCCAUUUGGUAUUCGGUGGUACGGAAGCGGGCUCGAUUUGCGUUUUGGAUCUCCGCCAAGAAGAUCAACCUAAUCCGUCCGCGUUCUACAACUGCCAUACCGUUCUCAUUCCCGAGUUACGUUUCCACGCAUUGUCUACUUCCCAUCUCAUGAUCGUGUGCUACGACGGAACCGCUCUGUGGUGGAACGCGAGCAAACUCAUGAGUCCAUCCGAGACCACGGCCGAUCUCGCGUCCUACCGAGAACUGAAGAGAACCGAGAAUUCCGACACGAGUGGUUGGCUGAUGCCGGAUGUAAUGAAGGACCGUAUGGAAAUUGAGAGACUCGAGGAACCGUCGAUAUUCUGUGUGAACUCAGUCGACUCUAGCGGCGAUUUGGUCGCAGUCGGUGGUGAUUCGGAGAUGCUACAGAUUUUUUCUAUUCCUGUGUAAAUAUAUUGCUAUCCGAGCUGAGCGACGGCGGAAAGAGUGACACCAUGUUCUAAUAUAUUCUCUCAUGAGAGCGGAUAUUGGUGGCAGUCCCACAUUGGUAUCCAUAAAGACACCUCU